UACGUGGGGGGCUAGCGUUGUUCGGAAUUACUGGGCGUAAAGGGCGCGUAGGCGGCCUACUAAGUCGGACGUGAAAUCCCUCGGCUCAACCGGGGAACUGCGUCCGAUACUGGUGGGCUCGAAUCCGGGAGAGGGAUGCGGAAUUCCAGGUGUAGCGGUGAAAUGCGUAGAUAUCUGGAGGAACACCGGUGGCGAAGGCGGCAUCCUGGACCGGCAUUGACGCUGAGGCGCGAAAGCCAGGGGAGCAAACGGG
rnacentral:rRNA from 1 species